AACUAAAUCUAAUAGCGUUUGCUUACUUCUAAUUUUCAAGGUAGAUGAAGCAUCAUUGCAAAAAGCGCUGCAUUUGGUGUACAGCCUCAAUCAGGACUAUGUAGCUGUUCUGUUUUAUGCUUCUUCGAGAACUUCAGACCAAGCUAUUCAACCCUGUCUUCCUUAUAUCCAUCUAUUCCUCAUUUUGCAAUAGAAGAAUCAGCCAUCAGACCAAGCAUACUGUCAAAAUAUGGAAUCUUGUGUUUGGCAUACCAACUGUACAAAUUUAAUGAUGGGAUUUGUCCGAAUAGAGCGACUACGCAGGGGUUGAAAGGCUUCCCUGUAAAGUGUGCUCAACAAGUCGGUGCCCGCGAGUGUGGCUAUUACAUUAUGAAGUUCAUGCAUGAAAUAGUCACGUUACACCAUAACUCUGAUGAGCGGUUAGAUAAUGCUUACACUCCAAGAAAUGCGCCUUAUACCGAUGAGGAAAUAGAUGUGGUUCGUGAGCUAUGGGCUAAGUUUUUUACAACCGAGUAUUUAUUUACUUAGGUUGUUUAGACACAAAGAUGGAAGCGUUUAUAUCUUCAUGGAUUUGGCUAGGGAUCGAGUCGAUUGGAAGAAAGUCAACACGACCUUACUUAAGGUUUGUAAUGCAUGAUCUAAAGGGACCUAAGUGGCUGGAUUAGAGACAUUUGUUAGAUUAGCUCUCUAGCCUUUUGUCUUUAGUUGUUAAUAUUAGUUGUAAUUUGUUAGACUAGCUAGGUGUUUAAAAAUUGUAAACAUACGUACUAUAUAUACGCUUUGCU